UCGCUACUACCGAUUGAAUGGCUUAGUGAGCUCCACCGACUGUUAGAUAUUUGGGGGUCUCUCUCGAUAUCCUACGGGAAGUGGAUCAAACUUGAUCAUUUAGAGGAAGUAA
rnacentral:rRNA from 1 species